AUUGAACGCUGGCGGCAUGCCUUACACAUGCAAGUCGAACGGUAACAGGUCUUCGGAUGCUGACGAGUGGCGAACGGGUGAGUAAUACAUCGGAACGUGCCUAGUAGAGGGGGAUAACUACUCGAAAGAGUGGCUAAUACCGCAUGAGAUCUACGGAUGAAAGCAGGGGAUCGCAAGACCUUGUGCUACUAGAGCGGCCGAUGGCAGAUUAGGUAGUUGGUGGGAUAAAAGCUUACCAAGCCGACGAUCUGUAGCUGGUCUGAGAGGACGAUCAGCCACACUGGGACUGAGACACGGACCAGACGCCUACGGGAGGCAGCAGUGGGGAAUUUUGGACAAUGGGCGCAAGCCUGAUCCAGCAAUGCCGCGUGCAGGAUGAAGGCCUUCGGGUUGUAAACUGCUUUUGUACGGAACGAAAAGCCCUGGGUUAAUACCCUGGGGUCAUGACGGUACCGUAAGAAUAAGCACCGGCUAACUACGUGCCAGCCGCCGCCGUAAUAC
rnacentral:rRNA from 1 species